UGCCAGCAGCCGCGGUAAUACGUAGGGGACGAGCGUUGUCCGGAAUCACUGGGCGUAAAGGGCGCGUAGGCGGUUUUAUAAGUCAGAUGUGAAAGGUACCGGCUCAACCGGUGACGUGCAUUUGAAACUGUAAGACUUGAAUACUGAAGAGGCAAGCGGAAUUCCUAGUGUAGCGGUGAAAUGCGUAGAUAUUAGGAAGAACACCGGUGGCGAAGGCGGCUUGCUGGGCAGAUACUGACGCUGAGGUGCGAAAGCGUGGGGAGCGAACAGGAUUAGAUA
rnacentral:rRNA from 1 species